rnacentral:rRNA from 1 species
UACGAAGGGUGCGAGCGUUAUUCGGAAUCAUUGGGCGUAAAGGGUGUGUAGGCGGUAUAUUAAGUCUGUUGUUAAAUGCUCCGGCCUAACUGGAGAUCUGCAAUGGAAACUAAUAUGCUAGAGGGUGGAAGAGAGGAGUGGAAUUCUCGGAGUAGCGGUAAAAUGCGUAGAUCUCGAGAGGAACACCAAUGGCGAAGGCAGCUUCUUGGUCCACACCUGACGCUGAAACACGAAAGCGUGGGGAGCAAACAGG